rnacentral:lncRNA from 1 species
UUUGUCAGUGAAAGGAGAGGAACUUUAUUUAGAGACCUGAGGCAGAGAGGAAAAAUCAAUGAUGAUUAUGGUGGUCUUGGGCCUGCACCAAAAGAGGUUUUUCUUUUCACUGGCCAUGGAAGAAAACACGAUGUGGAAAAACAUGGAUUCAAGCAGCGGCUUCAACCAGAGCACUGACAUUUGCUGCUGACUAAAGAGACAAGAAUGAGAAAGUGUAAGAUUUAUGCUCAGGAGACUCAUGUGCUUUUCGUAUAGGGACCUCCCUGGCUCAGUUUCCCAGAGGUUCCAUCAAACAUAAGGUUUCAAAGAGUUUGAGAAACACACCUUCAAAAAGGUAGGUCCAAGGGCUAUGUCAACCUCUCUUCUGAAUGCACAAGAUUAGAAGGAGGCUCUCCAGCAUCAAGAAGACAAGUGAUGAACACAGAAAAUCUAGUUCUUUGCAGGAUUGGUGGGGAAGUGGGGGAAGAGCUGGUUUCUUGGGGGGAAGGAGGGAGUGCUAGGGAAAAGUGAGAGACAGUCUCUGGAAGGUGAAUGGAGAGCUGUGCUUUGACAAAGGUGUGACAUUUUGGAACAUUUGCCAAGCUAGGAUGACAAUUCCUCAGGUCUGAGAGUCUCUUGUAAUCAGAAAAUGUCAUCAAUACCUUGUCUUCCUGUUCCUGUUCUGGCAUAACUUCUUUGCUUUUUGUGUCUUUGGUAAAUCCUUCAGAUGGCAUGUUGAACACUUACAUCUAAGGGAUUUCACCAUCUUCUCACAUCCCCCAACUCUGGCCAGGAGCGGGGUUCUUGCUGUAACAGCAGCCUCUUUUGGUUCCCCCUCCCUCACUCCAAGUCCAUUUGUCCAAAGCAGCCCACUCAUACUCCCUUUAUAUAUGAAGACAGGUGGCCAUGACAUAGGCCCUCUUGCUAAAAGGACCUGAUGAUUGACGAUAACAUGUCAUAAUGGCUGAAAGUCAACAUGAGAGCCUGGUUGGGUGGUUGGGGAAUACUGAGACAUUUGAAUAAAAUCAAGAAAGCACUUACUAAAACUGCUAGAAUCUAGGUGGCUGCCCAACUGUAUAGCCCACAGGAACCACUCUGAACGAUACAAACCAAGUAAAAUUCUCCUGGCCUUUCAGGCAUAAGUCCAGCAUCUUCAAAGCCUUUACCUGCUGGCAUAUUUAGGAACCUAAUCGUCAAGUGCUCCACGGGGUCAGGAAAGGUGAGGACUGAAAAACAAGGUGAGGCUCCUCAAGUGCUCGCACAGUGCCUGACUCUUAGCAGGUUCCAGAUAAGUGUUAUGACUACCCCAAGUUUGGCAGCUCCAUCUUUGAACUCCUUCCCGUUACUUUGCAACUCCCCUGUUUCCUGAGUUUUCUUCUCUUCUCUCAGUCUGCUUCAGCUCUCUCCUCUGAAAAACCCAAAGGCUGAUAAAUCCCAUCAUUUUGUCCCUAGACCAUCACAUCUACUCCCAUAAAUUCAGCUACACAAAACUCUACUUUGCCAGUGCCCAAAUCCACAUUACCAGCCCCAGUUGCUCUUCUGAGCUAGUUACCUGUAUCGAAUUUGUCCUCUGGGCAUCUAAGUGGACAUUGGAUCUGUCCAGUAGACAUCUCAAUCUGUGCAAAACUAAAACCAAUACUUCCUGUCCAAAUAUAGCUCCUGUUCCGCUAUCCUCCUAGCAGUCAUUCACUCAGGGCAGAAGUCUAGGAUUCACACUUUCCCUUCAUGGCCCUCCACAUCUCAUCAGUCCCCCCAGUAUUUUAUAACUCAUCCCUUCUUCUCCAUCCCCACGACCGACUCGAGUUAGCCUCCUCUGGGCUUUGAUAAUCAAGUCUUUUGUUCAUCUCUCUGUUCAUAGUAAACAUUAAGUAAAAUAUGUCACCCUCCUAAGGGUGUCACCCACCUAAGAGAUGUGAUUCAUCUCCUUGUCUCUCCCUACCAUGGCAGCAAAUACAGCAGGAGACAUUGUGAACAAGUACUAAAAUUAAGUAGAUGUGGGCUUAAUUCCUAGCUCUGCUGUUCAGUAUUUAUGCAUCCUUGAGAAAUUUCCUGAAGCUCUGAGCCUGCAAGGAAGUAAAGUCCAACUCGGCACUUAGUUUCCUCAUUAGUAAAAUAACAGGAUUGCCAAUAAGUCCCUGUCCUUCUGGCUUUAACUAACAGAAGAUUUUUACGACCAGGAGAAGUGCAACAAUUUGCCCAAAUUUAGUAGAUUGUGAGGCUUGGAUCCAGAAAAUCAGUCUGACUAAAUGUUGAAGGAAGUCAUCCUGAGUCUCACUGCUCGGUCCUUCUGCUGUAGGUUUGGCUGCUGAUCUCAUAUAGACUUUGUGACAUCCCAGAUUGGGGAAGUCUAAGUAACAGUGGCCUAGUUUCUUUACAGGUGGCCCCCCACCCCCAUCCCCGUCUCAAGGCUCAGAAUACCAUCUUCAGGUAAAUGACCGGAAAGCCCGCAUGAAGCUUCUAACAUCUACCAGACUAAGUGCAACCACACCAGCAUACAGCAGCGAUGCCCCUCCCCCGGACUCGGUGGGCUUCCUGCAGGAGCAUCAGAGAAAGAAGAGCACCCCCAAGAAGAGCACAGAGCAGAAGGAGGCUUGCAAUGGCAUGAAGAAAAUGCCACUAUCACUAUUUCAGGACAGUGGUCCACUGAGGAAACAAAUAUUUCUGCCUGGUGACACAGUCCUUACCAGUACUCCAGGACAUCUCAGUGGCAUUACCUUCCGCAUUUCCCCCCAAAACAAAAAUAAGGCUGCCCAGUAUUGGGAGUUGCUUGACCAAUAAAAUCUUAUCACUGCAACACUCAAAGGAUCUGGGUCUUUAUUUGGUUCUUGCUGAAAAUGAAGGCUUUGUUUUGAAGAUUUUACUAGGCCAGUCAUCCCUGCUGACCCCGCGUAGAGUGUGUGCAGGGCAAAGUGUCACUAGAGCUUUGUGCUUUGGACCACAGAAUUCUAGGACUAGAAAAGGCAGUGAGGGAGUUACUUUUUCCCUGUCCUUAGUAUAAAUGCAACUAAAUCUACUUUUCCAAAUUUGAGAAUUCUGCCCGAAAGAACAAUAUGGAAACCAAAUAGGCAAUGAUAUUGUCAAGCAAGCCUUCUCUGUCUGUUUUUCAAGAUCCUCAAAAGACAAAGUGAAAUUAUUCUUGCCACCUAUCUCCUCUCCUUCACCCUCAACUGAGCACCAUUAACAGUGGGAAGUAGAGUGUCAGCAAAUCAAGUCAAAGAGCAACUGAGUUGUGAUCUUUCUUGACCCAACCUUGAUCAG